GGUGAGUAACACGUGGGAACGUACCCUUUACUACGGAAUAACGCAGGGAAACUUGUGCUAAUACCGUAUGUGCCCUUUUGGGGAAAGAUUUAUCGGUAAGGGAUCGGCCCGCGUUGGAUUAGCUAGUUGGUGGGGUAAAGGCCUACCAAGGCGACGAUCCAUAGCUGGUCUGAGAGGAUGAUCAGCCACAUUGGGACUGAGACACGGCCCAAACUCCUACGGGAGGCAGCAGUGGGGAAUAUUGGACAAUGGGCGCAAGCCUGAUCCAGCCAUGCCGCGUGAGUGAUGAAGGCCCUAGGGUUGUAAAGCUCUUUCACCGGAGAAGAUAAUGACGGUAUCCGGAGAAGAAGCCCCGGCUAACUUCGUGCCAGCAGCCGCGGUAAUACGAAGGGGGCUAGCGUUGUUCGGAAUUACUGGGCGUAAAGCGCACGUAGGCGGACAUUUAAGUCAGGGGUGAAAUCCCGGGGCUCAACCUCGGAACUGCCUUUGAUACUGGGUGUCUUGAGUGUGGAAGAGGUGAGUGGAAUUCCGAGUGUAGAGGUGAAAUUCGUAGAUAUUCGGAGGAACACCAGUGGCGAAGGCGGCUCACUGGUCCACUACUGACGCUGAGG
rnacentral:rRNA from 1 species